GGAGUCAAAUGGCGGCACCCAGAUAAUUUUUAUCUGGCCCUCCAACUGGUUUUUGAUGUUUAAAACCGCUCGCAAUCUGAUAUCAAAGUCCCCGCAAAGGUUUAGCGUUUUCAGCGGUGAGUUUAACGUUGUUGCAAAGAUUUUUCUGAUCUCGCCAGAAUAAUGUGAAACUGCUACGUUUUGGUUGCUAUGAACAAUAUUUUAUUUUCUGCAUCAAAAUAAGGUUUGAUUACAUUUUAAGCAAAAAAUAUAUAUUAUUUAUUUUCAUAAUAUUCAUUCAGUGAGUGUACAUAAUCACUCGCUUCCGCGUUGUUGCAAAGAUUUAUCUGAUCUCGCCAGAAUAAUGUGAAACUGCUACGUUUUGGUUGCUAUGAACAAUAUUUUGAGUUAGUUUCUGCAUAAAAAUAAGGUUUGAUUACAUUUUUAGCGAGAAAUAUAUAACGUUAUUCUAUUUUCAUAAUAUUCACUCAGUGAAUGUCAACCCGUUCUCACUCCUGACCGUUCUCACGCUGAAGAAGUCUCCUUCAGAACACAUCGCGAUAUUUGGCAUCAGUUCGCGUGUGCUGGAUGUUGCUGAAAAGACAAAAAGGGCCUUUUGGAAAUGGAUGAAGGAGACAGAAAGCUGCAAAGGCAAAUAAUUGCAAUGAAGGAAAUCCUACGGUUAUGUAUGAACUCACAACAUCAUCAUCAAGUGCUGUGCUGGGCACAUUGGGUAACAAGUGUCCUCCAACGUAUCCAAUCUGUGACCACAUUCUCCACAUCUUCCCAUGGGACACCGACAUUCUUCAGGCCUUCGUUUCCAUGUCUUCCCCUGCAUUCUCCUGGUGGUGUCCACUUCAUAUCUGUCUUUGGGUGUUGUUGUUUGGUCAUGCUUAGGGUGUGUCCGGGGAGGUGCACCCUUCACUCUGUCACAGUUUUUAAAAGUCUUCACGUGGACUCCUCCUUAUGAUCUCCUUGAAACGUGCAGAACCAAUAUUGAAAAUAGUAAUUUAUCUUUUUCCAUAUUCUUGCCUUUAUCAAAGAAGCACCAGUGCUCAUCCGGAGUUUUGGUAAAAGUUCUAGUAAUGCUGCGACUAUAGUCAAAUAUGUAUUUCUGCAUGUGUGUAUAGCAGGUGUUUGUCCGAACAAUUGAAGUUAGUGAGAGUGUUCAGGAAAACCCUCUGAGAACAAUCAAUAUUUAUUUAAUUCUGUUUGGUGCUGAUAUAGAGUAUUACAGAAAUGACACAUUGACAUUCUGGACAUUAUUCUGUGAGUUUGUUACCUCUUCAUUUAGAUGGACUUGAAAAUGUCUUGCAUUUUGUUUCAUUAAACCUUUUAUUACAGUGUCACUAUAGUAAAUGUCCACCUUAACUACAUCUAUGGUAUCAUUAUAUCAGUACCUGGAUAAUGUAAAUGUAACAUACCCAUGAAUGUAUUUUAUAGAAGCAUUUUAUUGCUGAAAAUAUUUAACAUUUAUAAAAUGCAUUAACUAUU